CGCUGGCUGACACAGGAGUCCCGACUCCUCCAAUCAGAAUACAAGAACUUGCACUAGGGUGGGGACACGGGCUGCGUACUCCAAUAACAGUGGACAAGCGUGGGUGACGGACGGGUCACGCUCCUUCCCUUAACUCGGCACACGCCGCGGAGGCGGAGCUUUUCCCAUUCUUCUGAGGUGGGGGGUGCGGCGUCAUCAGUUUUUUUCCCGUGAUCCACUGCGGGGAAAGGCGGUAGCGCUGCUGCAGGAGCAGCAGCAUUGACGGCGGCUCUUCCAUCCGGGUCUUCGGUGGCGCUGUCCCGGCUGGGUCAUCCUUCUGCAGUUGAAGGAGAAACAUUGGCCUCAGAUGUGGUGGCUGGACUUGGCAUUGAAGAUGAUAAAGGAAAGUACUUGGAAACAGUUUUAUAGGGUUUGUAAAUCCUUGGGGGUAGUUGGUUUGUUAAGCAGUUUGCUGAACUUCUCCAGCUGUCUUGUGUGUGGGAAAGUGGGAAGACAGAAAGCACAAAGUUUCAGGAGAACGGAAGGAAGCUCAGAGAUGGUAGACUGCCUUCUGGGGUACCUAUUAAUUGAAUAAACAUACUGUAGAUUGAUAGAAGCAAUUUAUUUUUUUAGAAUUUGAUUUAUAUUUAGUUGUUAAAAUUGAUAUUACCAAACUACGUUUCAUUAAUGGGCAUUAAUCAGUUGAAAGUGUAAUCUGUGGUUAACAUUAGGUCAGAUAAAUUUGAGUUUAUGAAUGGCAUUGAUAAACAGUAUAGAGGAGCUAGUGAUAUAUCUUUUAUAUACUUGAUGCAUUUUGUAGUAGUCCUCCACCAACCUGAUGUCCUCCAUAUGUACCAACUGUUUCAGCUAUAACUCAUUGUCCCUGACUAAUGAUUGUGCUGUUUGGGGCUAAUGUGCAUUGAGAGUCCAAAAAAUCUUGAAGGACACUGGGAUGGGGAAGGCUGCUGUAGUGCUACACUGCAGUAAAAUUUGUAUUUUGCUAAGAUGCAAGUGCUGAUCUAUGUAAACAUAAUAAAAUUGGCUUUGAUGCUGGAGAUGUUCAUUCAGUUUAAGAACUUGCAAAACUGAAUUUAGGGUGCUUGAGACAAUUCCAUCUCUGACUAAACAGGGUUGGAACUGACAAGAAGCUAAACAGAAGACUAGAGAAUAAAGUUUGUAUAGUUGGGUCAUUAAAUUAUGUGUGUUUCAAGAAAUAAUAAACUAGUGCAAAGUACGAUAAAACUAUGUAAGGCAAAGUAGGGCCAAAUUGUUACUUUUGAUUUUAAUGUGAAUGACACCAGUGCUGCAUCCACUGUUUCUUCUUGUCUGGUUCUUACUGCUGUUAAAUUUCUUGGAGUAACACAUUAGGGCGUUGUGGGAAAUCCAAAUGGUGAGUGUUUCACAGCCACUUUAGAUUAUUCCACUGCUACUGCCAAUAAACCUGUUUUGGGUGUGUCUCCAUUGGUAUACUUCACCCAUCUUCUUCCCAGGGCAUGUGUGGCUGGCAGGAGGCAUUUUUAGGUCUUAGCAGAUCAGCGCCUCUUCUCAUCUGCCCUGUGAACACUCCCCCAUUUUCCUCUCUGCCAUUAGAGUACCGACAGUGGAGGCCUAAUACUGAUAGUCCUCUUCGUAAGAGCUAGGAGGGGACUUUUAUUCUGGGAAUGGGCCUCCCUCUCCACCUCCACCUGAAACUUUUUAUGGCUAUCCACACAAAAAUACAUAAUUGCUUUAAAAUAUUUUAGGUGCUAUUAUUUGAGUCAACAUCAAGGCCCAGUGCUUCGAUUUCUGUGCAUGCCUAAUGAAAACAAUUUAAGAAAAUGCACAAGAAAUUGUAGAUGUUUUAAUUAAAAAAGCAGUUGUUUAGUAAGGAGAUGUGACUGAAUCAUACUGUAAAAUGAUAUUUUUAAAAGUCAUUUUAACUGCAUAUGAUAAAUGCUUCCAGUUAUUUUUGUUCCAAGUACUACUUAUAUGGAGUAGGCUUUUUGAGGUUUAGAUACUGCUGUGAUAUAAUGCUCUAGAAAUUUUAUUUUAAAAUUAUAUUUCCUUGCUUUGAGGGUAGUGGGUUGCUUGUUUCUUCUGUGAAUGGGAGAACUCCUUACAUUAGUGCAAGGGAUGAAUAUGCAGAGAAGGCUCCCAAAGAAGAAAGAGGAGGUAAUUUUUUGCUGAGUCUUUGUAACCUCGCACCACCUCUUCCACUGUUCCAGAAGCUCUCUGAAAACCAGAAUUUUGUAGAGGGGAAUAGUAAAAAAUCAUCUUGCCCCCUCAUCUUUCAGUGGGUGUAUCCUGUGGAUAGAGUUCCACUCAUGGGAACUCUGGAUCCAAGCCAUUAUAACUAAUAACCCCCCCCCCCCAAAUGAGAUAGCAACAUCAUUCUAUUCUCAGCAGUAAAGAGAAAUUGAACCAAAUUAUACCUUCUUUUUUGUGCUGAUGAUUCAGCCAUUCAGCCAUGUGGGAUGAUAUUUCCUAAUAGCUUAUCCCUGAGUACAUUGAACAUAAGCCAGUCCCCCCCCCCCCCGAAGCCCUCCUUGGUAUGUCAUGAAGAGCUUCAUAUAGCAAUCAAAAAAUUUUUAAUAUUCAAAAGCUAAUUACAUCAUGGAGAUUUUUGGCUUCUUCCAGUAAAGGAGUAAGAAUGUUCUUGAGUUCCAAAAAUGUAGGGAACUAAAAAAAACAACUUGUUGCAUUUAAUUACAUUCCAAAACUCACUUGUCAAAUUCCGUAUUGAUUUCUGAACUGCAUCUUCCUUUAGAAUAAGCUGGAGGAUUGAUUUCCUGCAUUACUUGUGUAAUAUUAUGACACUUACCAUAUAGAUGAAAUUUAUAUAUUUGGAGGGUUUUUCAUUAACAUUUCUUCCUCCUUUCAGGUUUGAGUGGGGAACAGGAAGAAGAAUAUUGUAUUGUAUUUCCUUUGCUUGAACAUUUACAGUCUACUGAAUCUUGCUAUCCAGAGAAGUGUCUACGGUUUAACCAUUCUUUUAUCUAUCAGCUAUUUGUUUUGUGUGUGUGUGUGUGUGUGUGUGUUAAAAAGUAUUUAAAUGACUUUACCUGUUAGAAGCAUUCAGGUAAACCUGUUCUUUUAAAGAACAUAAUCAACAUAUCUUAAGUGAAGAUACCUGCGCUGUGGGAUGAGGUAGUAGGUUGUAUAGUUUUUAGGGUCAUACCCACCACUGGGAGAUAACUAUACAGUCUACUGUCUUUCCUAAAGAGGCAGACAAUCAUCAGUGACAUCUGUAUGGCUUUGUUACUGGCUAUAUGAUUACAACUGGGAGGCCAUAAUGAUGGCUCAUCAGACACACUUGUCAAGGAAAUGUGGACUCAAAGAGUUGGAUCCUGAGGAACAUGAAUGGAAAGAAACUUUUGGAAAGGGACUUCUAUCAUCUCCUCCCCAUCUGUUCCUUCUUAGUCAGGGGGCCUCCUGAAAGGUGUGAACUAUAAUGUGGAGAGCAGACCUGAAUUGGCCAGGGGCACCUUGUGCAAAGUGUGCCUUUACCCAAUGUUGUUGUUUUGUCUUCUCUGAGCCCACUUGUGCUCUAUUCUGCACUGUUCCGGAUAUCCUUCCAGAAAGGCUUUUUGUGAAGCACAGGUGAGAGGAGAUGGAGAUGUCCCCAUCUGCAAGUAUGUUUCAGGAUCCAGUCCAUGGGCAGGUAGACUCUGAACAAAUUAACUGGAAAUAGAACCCUUCUAAAUACAUUUCUCUUAUCAGGUUGAGGUAGUAGAUUGUAUAGUUGUAGGGCAGUUAUUUUGCCCUCUUCAGGAGAUAACUAUACAAUCUAUUGCCUUCCUUGAGGAGUAAAAUUCUGCAGUGUUUUUGCUGAGUUUACCAGCAACCUUAGUGGGACCUCUCUUAAUGGAAAAUAAAUGCAAUGAUUUGCACAGAAGAUCUGUAACUAAAUGAAACUCUAUUUUUCAGCAUUAAUUUGAUCGUUUCAGGUAUCUGCAUCUUGAAAAUAUGUGCUACUUGGUUUGAGCUGAGUUGGAUAAAAAAACAAGUGUUUUGUUUAAGUUUAAUUGGAAGGAUAUUAAGUGUGUAUACUAUUAAUGAUAUAACAAAGGACUAACAGUGAAUGGCUUUGUACUUACGUAGCAAGUGGUUUACUUCUAUAGUAACUGAACAUUUGUGAUACAACAUCUUGCCUUAUGUUGUAUAAAGUUUGUCUUUCACUACAGCUAAUCUUUUUCUUUUCUUUUUUGAAGGAUUGCUGAAGACGUGGUGGGUUCCUAGGAAGAGGUAGUAGGUUGCAUAGUUUUAGGGCAGUGGUUUUGCCCGCAAGGAGUUAACUAUACAACCUGCUGCCUUUCUUAGGGCUUUAAUAUUACAACAGGAUGAUAUUGGCUCUUCCUCUACUAGGUUGUGGUUUAAGGUUUGGAAGACUUGCUAGAAAAGUUUUGUUCACUGAGUAAGCCAGAAAAUGUGUGGAAACCUUGAGCUACCUUUUAGCCUACAGAAUGUAUCCUUGGCUUUUUUGCUAAGAGAAUUCUAUUGUACAAAGUAUUCUAUCCAAACUGAGUAGAAAAGAGAAUGGUGUAAUGGUUUAAACUCUUAAGGCUCCAAAGUGUCAUAUGUUUAAGAAUUACUUAAGAAAGUAAACUAGGCUGCUCAAUAAAUUGCUUUGUAGUAGUACAUGCUGUUUCCUGUCUUAUGUUGCCUUUCUCCAACACCCCAGUAGAUAAAACUGGAAAAUGAGAUUUUAAUGAACAGUGUUGAUUAUCUAACUGUAGUGUUCACAUGUGUCCAAUUUUUGAACAUGGCAUUUUGGUAAGAGUGUGUAAUUCUCCUUGAAGCAGCUAUUCCACAUAAGCUGUGCUGACCUUGCCAGGGCCUUAGAAAUUGAUUGUGUGGUCCUACCCCCACAUUUAGGAGUUCUCACAUGUCUGUAUUGUUUAGCUGUGAAACCAACUUUGAAUGAGGGUUUUGUCCAAUGCUGCACCUAUGAAGUUUUGCUCAGGCAAUUGGAAUUCCCUUGCUCUCCUGCUGCACUCUCAAAAUCUCAUCUGGAGCAGAUUGAGAGUGUACAAGCACUUCGGUAUUUCAAAUUUCAGCAGUGCCCUGUGCAAGGUCAAAAUUUGGCACCCCACCUCUAGCCUUCUCUUCUGCUCAAUUCACUACUUCAUAGUUGUGGUGCCCCCCUGGGCGCCCUUAAUCUGCCUCUAAUGCAAGGAGGCUGGGGGAAAACUUUCAGUUCUAGCAGAGCAGCAAUGUUGGAUACGACCUUGAGUGCUUUAUCUUAGAAACUGAACUGAGGUGUACACUAUGGUAGACUGGACCCAUGUUAUUUCCCCUCCCCCCCAAACUUCAGAAAAUAUUUACUAAUCUGGUCCAUUGUACACUCACAUUAAAGGUAAAGAUAAAGGGGCCCAUGACCAUCAGGUCCAGUCAUGUCCGGCUCUGGGGUUGCGGCGCUCAUCUCGUUCUAUAGGCCGAGGGAGCCGGCGUUUGUCCACAGACAGCUUCCGGGUCAUGUGGCCAGCAUGACAAAGCUGCUUAUGGGGAACCUGAGCAGCGCAUGGAAACGCUGUUUACCUUUCCAACUUGCACUUUGAUGUGCUUUCGAACUGCUAGGUGGGCAGGAGCUGGGACCGAGCAACAGGAGCUCACCCCGUUGCAGGGAUUCGAACCGCCGACCUUCUGAUCAGCAAGCCCUAGACUCUGUGGUUUAACCCACAGCACCACCUGGGUCCCUACACUCACAUUAUAUCUCAGCAUUUAGUAAAAUUACUGCCAUUUUCCAGACUGAGAUGGGAUUUCAUGAAAGUCAUGUGUAUUUUUAAAGAGGAAGGAAAAAGAUAACUGACCACCACUUAAAUAGUUUAUUGUUGAUAUAAAAACAUCUAAGCUUGGAUUUCACUGCAUGCUUUUGUUUUCAAGUGGCAUAAAAUGUUAUAAAUCAUACUGACAUUUUGUCUCUAGAUUACACAUGGGCUGCAUCAUGUGAUGAUGAAUUCACUUUAGAGUUAAUUGACAGGCAAACAAAACUAACAUGAGACUGUAAAAGGAGAGAAACAACAUGUCUUACAAGUUAAAGCAGUAUGCUCUUAAGAUGUCUCCAUUUCCAGCCACCACACCAACAAUGCUCACAUCAUCACAAGCCACACUUCUAAAGCCACUAGGAGAGGAAAAAAUAUAUAGCUCACAGUACUUGGCACAAUUCAGUACUUAAUUUAACUACUUUGACAUAUUGAAACAAACUCAUUCUGUUUUAGUACGAGAAGUUAAAUUGCAGGUUUUUGAAAUAUUGCAGUGAUUUUUUUUAUGUUGCCCUGCUAAGCAUAGCCCCAGUUUUGCCCUGUUUUCAAAGCUGUUACUACAGUCUUUUUUAAACCUGAGUAGUAGGUUGGUUCUGUGUUCAUUACAAUGGAAUUGGUUUAUCCCUUGGCUGUAAGCUUCACUGCUUAUAAAGAUAAAAUUGGGGGAUGAGGAAAGCCAUGGAUGACACAGGCAAAAAACAGUGCACAUAAGAAGAAGAGGAAGAGUUUGGAUUUGAUAUCCCGCUUUUAUCACUACCCUAAGGAGUCUCAAAGCGGCUAACAUUCUCCUUUCCCUUCCUCUCCCACAACACACACUCAGUGAGGUGAGUGGGGCUGAGAGACUUCAGAGAAGUGUGGCUAGCCCAAGGUCACCCAGCAGCUGCAUGUGGAGGAGCGGAGACACGAACCCGGUUCCCUAGAUUACGAGUCUGCCGCUCUUAACCACUAUACCACACUGGCUUUUAUCUACCCCUCAUGGUCAAACCGGGGAAAUGAUAUGUUGAACUUUGUGUCAAGGGAUCCAGUCAUAAGGGAAAGCAAAGCAAUCCCCAGAGCCUCUAUAUAAUUCACAUAUCGCUGUCUUUAAACCCUGGCCCAUAGCUCCUAUGAUGUAGUAUCACUCUAGACUGAUUUUCAGAAAGCAAUUGAACUGAAGUCUUCCAUAUAAAUACAGUUCAAACUAGCAUUUGGGGUCACAGAUGUACUUUUAGUCUCAAAUCUGCCUUCUGAUAUAGAUGCAUUUAGCAAGAAAGUGAUAGGUGCUCUGAUCUUACUGCAAUUUGAAAAAUGUUUUAAACUUACUUUGACCAUCUGUGGGAUCCUCCUAGUAAGUGGUAGCGACCGUUCAGCAAAGAAGAUUUGUUGUCAUUUUUCCAGGAGUACACACGAAGUGAGAGGUCCAUGGAUGAUGUGACAACAUGAAAAGGAUCCUGGUUGGGAGUGGGUGGAUGCAUAUUAAAGCCUUUUAGUUAAAGAAUAUUUAGUGUAGAGAACAGAAAUAAAUAAUAGUAGUAAGUAAUAGUAACUGUAUAUACCACCCAUAUUGAUGUAAUAGAAUUGUGGUGAUCUUUGAAAGCCAUUAAUUCAGUUCCUGACAGAGUAUAUAAUUUCAGCUCUGGUCCAGUUGCUAAAAGAAUAGUUUGUUUGCCAAAUCCUUUCAUAAUCGUCUCUCCAAUCCGUAGUUGUGUUGGUAACGUGAAGUCUGCAACCUGUUGAGCUUUUCAUAAAAAACAUUUUAGCACUGAAAUUUCUGCUCUGUUUACUGUGAAGAGUACUGCAACAGUGCUCACCAGUAUAUUAGUUAGGUCACGGUUCUCUGAAUUUUGAGCUACAUAUUGUGUAUCGAGAACAUCAUGCUGAUUCAGACCAGUUCUGUCUACUGUGCUACUCUGGACAGGAAUGAAAACAAGAUAGGGAACACUGAUUAAGAAAACAAGUUGCCUAAAGAAAUAAAUUUGUCAAUUGGGUAUUAUCUGUUGAGCUUGACAAAACAUGGGUAUAUAAAAUUAGGGACAUAGGAAGGCCAUUGGUCUGUCUAGUUCAGUGUUGUCAACACUGGCUGGCAGCAUUUCUGCAGAUUUUCAGGCAGUUGUCUCUGCCAAACCUAAGUGGAGAAGUUGGAGACUGAACCUGGACCACCUACUUCCACAGCAUAUGCUCUAGCACUGAACUGUCCAAUGCAUUUUGUUAUUCAGCUUUGACACAGUGCGGCCAAGUCCCUGCUUUCAUGGUUUACUGUGCACAGAAAGACAAAGGCUGAAAUCCCUUCCAUGUCUAUUCAGAAAUAAGCCCCAUUGAAUUUAGUGAGCUUAUUUGCACAUAAGUGGGUAGUAGUAAUAAUAAUAAUAAUAAUAAUAAUAAUAAUAAUAAUAAUAAUAAUAAUAAUUUAUUUAUACCCCGCCCAUCUGACUGGGUUUCUCCAGUCACUCUGGGUGGCUCCCAAUCGAAUAUUUAAAUCACAAUACAGCAUUAAACAUUAAAAACUUCCUAUACAUGGCUGCCUUCAGAUGUCUUUUAAAAGUAGGAUAGUUGCUUAUUUCCUUGACAUCUGAUGGGAGGGCGUUCCACAUGGCAGGCACCACCACCGAGAAGGCUCUGCCUGGCUCCCUGCAACCUUACCUCUCACAGUGAGGGAACCGCCAGAUGGCCCUUGGAGUUGGACCUCAGUGUCUGGGCAUAAAGAUGGGGGUGGAGACGCUCCUUAAGGUAUACUGGGCCAAGGCCAUUUAGAGUGUUAAAGGUCAGCACCAACACUUUGAAUUGUGCUCGGAAACGUACUGGGAGCCAAUGCAGAUCUCUCAGGUGUUAUAAGUCUCGGCCACUCCCAGUCACCAGUCUAGCUGCUGCGUUCUGGAUUAAUUGCAGUUUCCAAGUCACCUUCAAAGGUAGCCCUACGUAGAGCGCAUUGCAGUAGUGCAAGCGGGAGAUAACUAGAGCAUGCACCACUUUGACGAGACAGUCUGUGAGCAGGUAGGGUCUCUGCCUGCAUACCAGAUGGAGCUGGUAGACAGCUGCUGUUGGAAUUGCAACCAACAUUUAAAAACAUGCUGUUCCUCUUCACCUAUACAAGAAAGGUCCACCUGACUUAUUUCCUUUUCAAUAGCAAUUGAGUUCAGGAUGUUUUCUGGAUUGCUACUAAAUAAAAGGAUAAAUUACCUUCUGCUACACAACAGUUUGAAGAAACUUACCUGUAAUACUCAUUUUAUAUUUAGACUUAUUCUCAAUGUGUAUAUCUAAGCUCACAAUGUGACAAUUCGUCUCUUCAUCAUGCAGUGCUGCUACUCUUGCUGGUUCUGCUGGUAACCAGCAGGUGUCAAGGCACUGCCCUCUGAUCGGAAGAGGACUAGAUAACUGUUCAUCAUCUACAGAAUUAGUUGCAGAAUGUGUAUAAACCACCUGUUACAUAUACAAAAACAAGCAUUAACACACACAAACUGGGAUCCAAAGAGCUGCUUAUGAUAUACUUGUAUAGCCCAAGUGAGGAUUUUCACUUUGGAAUUUAUGCAAAAAAUUAUUUUGAGCUUUGAAUUACAGAGCUUCAUGGCACAUCACAAAUGGUGGUUGAUACUUCUUUCAGGAUGGUAGUAUCCCUACAGGCCCUCCAAGUGUCUUGCCACAGGGAUGGAAGGGGAAAAUGACUUUGCCAUUGUGGGUCAAACCAUACAAGGUUCAGCCUCUCCCAUUCCCCAUCUCUCUGGAGAGGCAGGAAGGGGAAGCUCUGUUAAUGGGACAUUUUUCUUUUGCCCAAGCAAAGAUUGCUCGUUAUGUGGCAUGGAGAUUUGAGUGGAGUUUCGUUGACAAUAAUAGCAGGUUUAUGAGAAAAAAGAAGCCACAAUAUAGUGGUAACUUUGCUAGGACCAACUAAAUGUCACAACACAGCGAGCAAGUUUUCAAGCUCUCCAGAACUCUUUAGGCUAGAUGGGAAGCCUAAAGGUGUAACCUCAUGGAAAGGGGGAGGGAAGGACACAAAUACUAGGCAAAAUGUUGACACACCAAAGUACAGUAGUCAGUUUGUAA